AGUGAACGCUGGCGGUAGGCCUAACACAUGCAAGUCGAACGGCAGCACAGUAAGAGCUUGCUCUUACGGGUGGCGAGUGGCGGACGGGUGAGGAAUACAUCGGAAUCUACUUUUUCGUGGGGGAUAACGUAGAGAAACUUACGCUAAUACCGCAUACGACCUACGGGUGAAAGCAGGGGAUCUUCGGACCUUGCGCGAUUGAAUGAGCCGAUGUCGGAUUAGCUAGUUGGCGGGGUAAAGGCCCACCAAGGCGACGAUCCGUAGCUGGUCUGAGAGGAUGAUCAGCCACACUGGAACUGAGACACGGUCCAGACUCCUACGGGAGGCAGCAGUGGGGAAUGUUGGACAAUGGGCGCAAGCCUGAUCCAGCCAUACCGCGUGGGUGAAGAAGGCCUUCGGGUUGUAAAGCCCUUUUGUUGGGAAAGAAAAGCAGCAGGUUAAUACCCCGCUGUUCUGACGGUACCCAAAGAAUAAGCACCGGCUAACUUCGUG
rnacentral:rRNA from 1 species